rnacentral:rRNA from 1 species
ACGAACGCUGGCGGCGUGCUUAACACAUGCAAGUCGAACGGAAAGGCCCUGCUUUUGUGGGGUGCUCGAGUGGCGAACGGGUGAGUAACACGUGAGUAACCUGCCCUUGACUUUGGGAUAACUUCAGGAAACUGGGGCUAAUACCGGAUAGGAGCUCCUGCUGCAUGGUGGGGGUUGGAAAGUUUCGGCGGUUGGGGAUGGACUCGCGGCUUAUCAGCUUGUUGGUGGGGUAGUGGCUUACCAAGGCUUUGACGGGUAGCCGGCCUGAGAGGGUGACCGGCCACAUUGGGACUGAGAUACGGCCCAGACUCCUACGGGAGGCAGCAGUGGGGAAUAUUGCACAAUGGGCGGAAGCCUGAUGCAGCAACGCCGCGUGCGGGAUGACGGCCUUCGGGUUGUAAACCGCUUUCGCCUGUGACGAAGCGUGAGUGACGGUAAUGGGUAAAGAAACACCGGCUAACUACGU